rnacentral:rRNA from 1 species
ACUUAGUGGCGGUCGGGUGAGUAACGCGUGGAUAACCUGCCUUACACUGGGGGAUAACACUUAGAAAUAGGUGCUAAUACCGCAUAAGCGCACGGAGCCGCAUGGCUCAGUGUGAAAAACUCCGGUGGUGUAAGAUGGAUCCGCGUCUGAUUAGCUGGUUGGCGGGGUAGAAGCCCACCAAGGCGACGAUCAGUAGCCGGCCUGAGAGGGUGACCGGCCACAUUGGGACUGAGACACGGCCCAAACUCCUACGGGAGGCAGCAGUGGGGAAUAUUGCACAAUGGGGGAAACCCUGAUGCAGCAACGCCGCGUGAGUGAAGAAGUCAUUCGUGAUGUAAAGCUCUAUCAGCAGGGAAGAAAAUGACGGUACCUGAGUAAGAAGCCCCGGCUAACUACGUGCCAGCAGCCGCGGUAAUACGUAGGGGGCAAGCGUUAUCCGGAUUUACUGGGUGUAAAGGGAGCGUAGACGGCCAGACAAGUCUGAAGUGAAAAUCCAGCGCUUAACGUUGGAAGUGCUUUGGAAACUGCCGGGCUAGAGUGCAGGAGGGGCAGGCGGAAUUCCUAGUGUAGCGGUGAAAUGCGUAGAUAUUAGGAGGAACACCAGUGGCGAAGGCGGCCUGCUGGACUGCAACUGACGUUGAGGCUCGAAGGCGUGGGGAGCAAACAGGAUUAGAUACCCUGGUAGUCCACGCGGUAAACGAUGAUUACUAGGUGUCGGGGGGCUAGAGCCCUUCGGUGCCGUCGCAAACGCAAUAAGUAAUCCACCUGGGGAGUACGUUCGCAAGAAUGAAACUCAAAGGAAUU